rnacentral:tRNA from 1 species
CAUUAGGUGGCUGAAAGCAAGCAAUGGUCUCUUAGGCCAUAAAAUAGUAAAUUAGCAAUUACUUCUAAUGG